rnacentral:rRNA from 1 species
AUUGAACGCUGGCGGCAGGCCUAACACAUGCAAGUCGAGCGGAGCGGCGGACGGGUGAGUAAUGCCUAGGAAUCUGCCUGGUAGUGGGGGAUAACGUCCGGAAACGGGCGCUAAUACCGCAUACUAUCAGAUGAGCCUAGGUCGGAUUAGCUAGUUGGUGGGGUAAAGGCCUACCAAGGCGACGAUCCGUAACUGGCCUGAGAGGAUGAUCAGUCACAAUGCAACGUGUGCACGGUCCAGACUCCGAAGGUAGGCAGCCGGUGGGAAUAUUUUACAAUGGGCGAAAGCCUGAUCCAGCCAUGCCGCGUGUGUGAAGAAGGUCUUCGGAUUUUAAAGCACUUUAAGUUGGGAGCCGUUACCAACAGAAUAAGCCCCGGCUAACUUCGUGCCAGCAGCCGCGGUAAUUC